UAUGGAGAGUUUGAUCCUGGCUCAGAGUGAACGCUGGCGGCGUGCCUAAUACAUGCAAGUCGAACGAUGAAGCUUCUAGCUUGCUAGAAUGCUGAUUAGUGGCGCACGGGUGAGUAACGCAUAGGUUAUGUGCCUCUUAGUUUGGGAUAGCCAUUGGAAACGAUGAUUAAUACCAGAUACUCCCUACGGGGGAAAGAUUUAUCGCUAAGAGAUCAGCCUAUGUCCUAUCAGCUUGUUGGUAAGGUAAUGGCUUACCAAGGCUAUGACGGGUAUCCGGCCUGAGAGGGUGAACGGACACACUGGAACUGAGACACGGUCCAGACUCCUACGGGAGGCAGCAGUAGGGAAUAUUGCUCAAUGGGGGAAACCCUGAAGCAGCAACGCCGCGUGGAGGAUGAAGGUUUUAGGAUUGUAAACUCCUUUUGUUAGAGAAGAUAAUGACGGUAUCUAACGAAUAAGCACCGGCUAACUCCGUGCCAGCAGCCGCGGUAAUACGGAGGGUGCAAGCGUUACUCGGAAUCACUGGGCGUAAAGAGCGCGUAGGCGGGAUAGUCAGUCAGGUGUGAAAUCCUAUGGCUUAACCAUAGAACUGCAUUUGAAACUACUAUUCUAGAGUGUGGGAGAGGUAGGUGGAAUUCUUGGUGUAGGGGUAAAAUCCGUAGAGAUCAAGAGGAAUACUCAUUGCGAAGGCGACCUGCUGGAACAUUACUGACGCUGAUUGCGCGAAAGCGUGGGGAGCAAACAGGAUUAGAUACCCUGGUAGUCCACGCCCUAAACGAUGGAUGCUAGUUGUUGGAGGGCUUAGUCUUUCCAGUAAUGCAGCUAACGCAUUAAGCAUCCCGCCUGGGGAGUACGGUCGCAAGAUUAAAACUCAAAGGAAUAGACGGGGACCCGCACAAGCGGUGGAGCAUGUGGUUUAAUUCGAAGAUACACGAAGAACCUUACCUAGGCUUGACAUUGAGAGAAUCCGCUAGAAAUAGUGGAGUGUCUGGCUUGCCAGACCUUGAAAACAGGUGCUGCACGGCUGUCGUCAGCUCGUGUCGUGAGAUGUUGGGUUAAGUCCCGCAACGAGCGCAACCCCCUUUCUUAGUUGCUAACAGGUUAUGCUGAGAACUCUAAGGAUACUGCCUCCGUAAGGAGGAGGAAGGUGGGGACGACGUCAAGUCAUCAUGGCCCUUACGCCUAGGGCUACACACGUGCUACAAUGGGGUGCACAAAGAGAAGCAAUACUGCGAAGUGGAGCCAAUCUUCAAAACACCUCUCAGUUCGGAUUGUAGGCUGCAACUCGCCUGCAUGAAGCUGGAAUCGCUAGUAAUCGCAAAUCAGCCAUGUUGCGGUGAAUACGUUCCCGGGUCUUGUACUCACCGCCCGUCACACCAUGGGAGUUGUGUUUGCCUUAAGUCAGGAUGCUAAAUUGGCUACUGCCCACGGCACACACAGCGACUGGGGUGAAGUCGUAACAAGGUAACCGUAGGUGAACCUGCGGUUGGAUCACCUCCUU
rnacentral:rRNA from 1 species